rnacentral:tRNA from 1 species
GGUGUAGCUCAGUGGAAGAGCACUUGCCUAGAAAGUACCAGGCCCUGGGUUCAAUCUCCAGCACC